rnacentral:rRNA from 1 species
GAGUUUGAUCCUGGCUCAGAUUGAACGCUGGCGGCAGGCCUAACACAUGCAAGUCGAGCGGAAACGAGUUAUCUGAACCUUCGGGGAACGAUAACGGCGUCGAGCGGCGGACGGGUGAGUAAUGCCUAGGAAAUUGCCCUGAUGUGGGGGAUAACCAUUGGAAACGAUGGCUAAUACCGCAUAAUGCCUACGGGCCAAAGAGGGGGACCUUCGGGCCUCUCGCGUCAGGAUAUGCCUAGGUGGGAUUAGCUAGUUGGUGAGGUAAGGGCUCACCAAGGCGACGAUCCCUAGCCGGCCUGAGAGGGUGUACGGUCACACUGGAACUGAGAUACGGUCCAGACUCCUACGGGAGGCAGCAGUGGGGAAUAUUGCACAAUGGGCGAAAGCCUGAUGCAGCGACGUCGCGUGGAGGAUGAAGGUUUUCGGAUUGUAAACUCCUGUUAAAUGGGAAGAAAGACUCUUGGCUAAUAACUAAGAGGGAUGACGUUACCAUUAAAGAAAGCACCGGCUAACUUCGUGCCAGCAGCCGCGGUAAUACGAAGGGUGCGAGCGUUAUUCGGAAUAACUGGGCGUAAAGGGUGCGUAGGCGGUACUUUAAGUUGACGGUUAAAUACCAUGGCUCAACCAUGGAAAUGCCGGCGAUACUGGAGUACUAGAGGAUAGCAGAGAGGAGUGGAAUUCUCGGAGUAGCGGUAAAAUGCGUAGAUCUCGAGAGGAACACCGAUGGCGAAGGCAGCUCCUUGGGCUAUAUCUGACGCUGAGGCACGAAAGCGUGGGUAGCAAACAGGAUUAGAUACCCUGGUAGUCCACGCCGUAAACGAUGAUCACUGGAUAUGGGACGUGCAUAGCAUGUUCUGUGUCGAAGCUUACGCGUUAAGUGAUCCGCCUGGGGACUACGGUCGCAAGAUUAAAACUCAAAGGAAUUGACGGGGGUCCGCACAAGCGGUGGAACAUGUGGUUUAAUUCGACACUACGCGAGGAACCUUACCUAGGCUUGACAUGUAUCUGAUCGUGGUAGAAAUACCAUUUUCUAAGUUUACUUAGACAGUUACACAGGUGCUGCAUGGCUGUCGUCAGCUCGUGUCGUGAGAUGUUAGGUUAAGUCCUUUAACGAGCGCAACCCUUGCCGUUAGUUGCUCUACGAAAGUAUGCACUCUAGCGGGACUGCCUUGGGAACAAGGAGGAAGGUGGGGAUGACUUCAAGUCCGCAUGGCCCUUAUGCCUAGGGCUACACACGUGUUACAAUGGGAAGUACAGAGCGGAGCAAACCCGCGAGGGCGAGCAAAUCGCAGAAAACUUCUCUCAGUUCGGAUUGGAGUCUGCAACUCGACUCCAUGAAGUUGAAAUCGCUAGUAAUCGCGUAUCAGAACGACGCGGUGAAUACGUUCUCGGACCUUGUACACACCGCCCGUCACACCACGAAAGUUGCUUACGCCCGAAGUCGCCUUAGCUAACCCUUAUAGGGAGGCGGGUGCCGAAGGUGAGAGGGAUGAUUGGGGUGAAGUCGUAACAAGGUAACCGUA